rnacentral:rRNA from 1 species
UAGGGAAUCUUCCGCAAUGGACGCAAGUCUGACGGAGCAACGCCGCGUGAGUGAAGAAGGAUUUCGGUUCGUAAAACUCUGUUGUUAGAGAAGAACAGCGCAUAGAGUAACUGUUAUGCGUGUGACGGUAUCUAACCAGAAAGCCACGGCUAACUACGUGCCAGCAGCCGCGGUAAUACGUAGGUGGCAAGCGUUGUCCGGAUUUAUUGGGCGUAAAGCGAGCGCAGGCGGUCAAUUAAGUCUGAUGUGAAAGCCCCCGGCUCAACCGGGGAGGGUCAUUGGAAACUGGUUGACUUGAGUGCAGAAGAGGGGAGUGGAAUUCCAUGUGUAGCGGUGAAAAGCGUAGAUAUAUGGAGGAACACCAGUGGCGAAGGCGACUCUCUGGUCUGUAACUGACGCUGAGGCUCGAAAGCGUGGGUAGCAAACAGG